rnacentral:rRNA from 1 species
CAGUAGCCACGGUAAUACAGAGGGUGCGAGCGCUAAUCGGAAUUACUGGGCGUAAAGGGCGCGUAGGCGGUUAGGAAGGUGUGAUGUGAAAGCCCUGGGCUUAACCUAGGAAGUGCAUCGCAAACCAACUAGCUGGAGUAUAAGAGAGGGUGGCGGAAUUUCCGGUGUAGCGGUGAAAUGCGUAGAGAUCGGAAGGAACGUCAAUGGCGAAGGCAGCCACCUGGCUUAAUACUGACGCUGAGGCGCGAAAGCGUGGGGAGCGAACAGGAUUAGAGACCCCAGUAGUCCCUGUCUCUUAUAC